rnacentral:rRNA from 1 species
AACGAACGCUGGCGGCAUGCCUAACACAUGCAAGUCGAACGAAGCCUUCGGGCUUAGUGGCGCACGGGUGCGUAACGCGUGGGAAUCUGCCCCUUGCUUCGGAAUAACAGUUAGAAAUGACUGCUAAUACCGGAUGAAGUCUUCGGACCAAAGAUUUAUCGGCACGGGAUGAGCCCGCGUAGGAUUAGGUAGUUGGUGGGGUAAAGGCCUACCAAGCCGACGAUCCUUAGCUGGUCUGAGAGGCAGAUCAGCCACACUGGGACUGAGACACGGCCCAGACUCCUACGGGAGGGAGCAGUGGGGAAUAUUGGACAAUGGACGCAAGUCUGAUCCAGCAAUGCCGCGUGAGUGAUGAAGGCCUUAGGGUUGUAAAGCUCUUUUACCAGGGAUGAUAAUGACAGUACCUGGAGAAUAAGCUCCGGCUAACUCCGUG